AUGAACAGUGAUGAACAGAUAAGGCUAGUGGGAAAUGUAGUUCAGAAGGGGGUGACAAUCAGGGGAAGUGAGACCUCUAGUGGCCACCCAGGGAGACACAGAACAGACACUGUGACAGGAGGAAGACACACGUACUUGACUUGUAGACCUGACAAAACUGAACUGACGGAGGGAGGAGCCAGGGAGGAGACGACGGAGGGAGGAGACGGCGGAGGGAGGAGGCAGGGAGGAGACAGGAGGAGCUUGGAGCAGGAGGAGUCCAGCUGGACCCAGGCCACAGCCAUAUUGACAGCCCAAGGUGGAGCUGACGGUGGGAAGAGCCAGGGAGGAGGAAUGGCUGCUGACUCCAGGGGGCCAACCAAUGGCGGCGGAGCAGGUGGAGGAGGAACCCAGAGGCGGAGACAGACAGCCAAUGAGCUAGGGGGAUGCCAAGGAUCCGGGGGGCCAGGGUGGAGCCAAGGGCUCUGGUGCCGCGGCAGAGCCAGAGUGACUGAGGACCAAGGUGGAGCUGGCGGGAGGAAGGAGGCCAACGGAGCUGGUGGGACGUAGCGACUAGGCCAGUGGAGAGGAGUCCAAAGGUGACGGCGGGUCGACGCCCAACCAAGGCAGAGCCGGAGGGAAGAGGGAGCCCGGUGGAGCUGAUGGAUCGAUGGUUCAGGGUGGAGGCGAGGGAGCUAGGAGCCGAGGUGGAGCCACUGGGACUAUGGGACGAGGCGGAGUCUGGGACUUGGAGGCUGGAGGCAGAGGUGAGGGAGAUUCCAACCACCGCAACGCUGGAGGAUGGCAGUCCCGCGGGGCUCUCACAACAUAGGCAGAGGGCGAGCAGAGGGGUUGCCAGAUGACAGUGCUGGAGGAGGCAGGAGCGGGUGGGAGGGCGGGCAUUUUGGAGGAGCGGCCACUGGAUAAUUGGAAGCCCCCUCAGGGCUGGACGAGGAAACCAAGGACGAAGGAGGGCUGGACGGGACCAGCGGAGACGACGGAGAGAGGAGAGGGGGCAGUUCAACCUUCAGUUCAGAUUCCCUAUCUAUAAGAUCCUCCUCCUCCUCAUUUUCGUGCUCCAUACUCGGCUCACCCUCAGCCAGGAUGCAGGGGGCUCCACUCCACUCCACGUUCACACCAUCCGCGGCUCUCUCCCUUGCAGUGGGCACUGUAGCCAGCUCUCGCACCUGGUCUGACGGGUUGGGCUCCAUAUCUGGGGCGAUCCUCCACUCAGUCGCUUGGGAUUGCGCUGGCUCAUUGUUUGCGGCAGUAAUAGGCUCUCCGUAAUCGUUGGGCUCGGGCUGAUGCUCCGCACCGUGGAGAGAUGGUGGGCUGGGCACUGGUGCUGGAGUGGAUUCGGGGAGAUCCUCCUCGGGGCCGAUGGUAAAUGGCGAUCUGUUUCUUGCCAGAAACCAUUCCACGAAGGUGGAAAAAUCUGCUUGAGGGCCAUCUUUGGAUGAUGGCGCUCUGCACACAGGGUUGAGGCUUGCGUCAUAGAAUGAGCAGAGUGCGUUGUCCGGGUAGGUGGUAAGAUGGGCAAUAGCCAGAAACAGUCUGGUAAGAGCCUCGAGUGAAUUUUCCCUCUGUUCCUGCAGGAGGAGGAUGAAUUUAGGGCGAAGGAGGGGAUCCAUAGGGUGCACAUCGGAAAUAAAAAGACUGAGGAAAACCAGAAAACAAAUGGAGGGUAGACACGCAAUUUAAACUGUUAAGGUCAGGUCUUAUGUCACACUACUGUGCCGGAAGGAACACAGAGCCGAGGAUAAGCAAAACAGUCUUUAUUAAUCCACCACAUGAGUAAAUCCAACAUGGAGACCAGGAGGAAGACACACGUACUUGACUUGUAGACCCGACAAAACUGAACUGAAAGACUGGGGCUUUUAAACUCAGGAUAAUAUGGGAAACACAGGUGUAUGGAAUCAAUUAAUAAUCAAACUGAACAAGGACAGGAAACAGACCAAAUAAGGAAAACAGGAACUGACACACAUGACAACAGGUCCAAUCCUGACACUAUUAUCCACAGAUCUUUGAUGUGAAUGAAUAUUUUUUGGUAAUUCAUUAAAUAUCGCCAGCUAAAAAGUAACUAGUAACUAGUACUCUGAGUAGUUUUUGAGAAUAGUACUUUGUACUUUUACUUAAUUACUGUUUUGGCACCAGUACUUUUACUU
ensembl:lncRNA